UAUUUUAUUCAACAAUCAAUAAGAUAAACAUACAUAGACGUACUUCCCCAUCACCCUUCUACUUUUAUGUUAGACCAGGUUGGCCUGGAACUCAGAGAUCCGCCUACCUCUACCUCACGAGUGCUGGAAUUAAAGGCGUGUGUCACCACUGCCCAGCUUUUCCAGUGUGCUCUUAAGAUACAACUUAGUCCUCCAGUUGUGGCAUCAGCAACCAGGUCUUCUAAGAACUUCAGGUGACCACUGGGACUAAAGGUGGAGCCAAGCCUUUUCAGCCUUCCCCACUGACCCCAAGCACUGUGUGCUCCACACAAAGCCAUGCGCAGCCAGUGGAAUGUGGACAAUUCCUCGAUGUUCUGGCAUGGACAUGAUCUCCUUCGUGCUUCCAACACGGGAUUCCGAUCAAUAAGUUGGGGCCCCAAGCUUCUUCAGGAAAACAGUUUUUAUUUGUGCUAGCAGAUUCAUCCAAACUUCUGUUUCAAAGAACCAAGCCCCAAAGGCUCACUAGACGGAGCCUUUUGGAUUUUGCGUCUUUGUCUCCCAUACAUGGAAGGGAAACUAAUCACCCCACAUCAUCCCCAAGACUUGUGAACGACUGCUCUUUCUGUACUGAGUACUCACAGAUGUGGAAACAGACCCACAGGGAACUCACGGGGCUAUCGGCAAUAGAGGCACCAUCAGUCCCAGCACCAAGUCCCAUCAGGGAAGUAGCCAAACUCUGUGUGAAAUAAUUAAAAAAUUA
rnacentral:lncRNA from 1 species